UGGGGAAUUUUGGACAAUGGGCGAAAGCCUGAUCCAGCAAUGCCGCGUGUGUGAAGAAGGCCUUCGGGUUGUAAAGCACUUUUGUCCGGAAAGAAAUCCUUGGCUCUAAUACAGUCGGGGGAUGACGGUACCGGAAGAAUAAGCACCGGCUAACUACGUGCCAGCAGCCGCGGUAAUACGUAGGGUGCAAGCGUUAAUCGGAAUUACUGGGCGUAAAGCGUGCGCAGGCGGUUUGCUAAGACCGAUGUGAAAUCCCCGGGCUCAACCUGGGAACUGCAUUGGUGACUGGCAGGCUAGAGUAUGGCAGAGGGGGGUAGAAUUCCACGUGUAGCAGUGAAAUGCGUAGAGAUGUGGAGGAAUACCGAUGGCGAAGGCAGCCCCCUGGGCCAAUACUGACGCUCAUGCACGAAAGCGUGGGGAGCAAACAGGAUUAGAUACCCUGGUAGUCCACGCCCUAAACGAUGUCAACUAGUUGUUGGGAUUCAUUCCUUAGUAACGUAGCUAACGCGUGAAGUUGACCGCCUGGGGAGUACGGUCGCAAGAUUAAAACUCAAUGAAUUGACGGGGUCAUAGCUGUUUCC
rnacentral:rRNA from 1 species